CUCCUACGGGAGGCUGCAGUGGGGAAUUUUGGACAAUGGGGGCAACCCUGAUCCAGCCAUGCCGCGUGAGUGAAGAAGGCCUUCGGGUUGUAAAGCUCUUUCGGCCGGGAAGAAAUCGCAUAGGUUAAUACCCUGUGUGGAUGACGGUACCGGAAUAAGAAGCACCGGCUAACUACGUGCCAGCAGCCGCGGUAAUACGUAGGGUGCGAGCGUUAAUCGGAAUUACUGGGCGUAAAGCGUGCGCAGGCGGUUUAGUAAGACAGGCGUGAAAUCCCCGGGCUCAACCUGGGAACUGCGCUUGUGACUGCUAAGCUAGAGUACGGCAGAGGGGGGUGGAAUUCCACGUGUAGCAGUGAAAUGCGUAGAGAUGUGGAGGAACACCAAUGGCGAAGGCAGCCCCCUGGGCCGAUACUGACGCUCAUGCACGGAAGCGUGGGUAGCAAACAGGAUUAGAUACCCUGGUAGUCCACGCCCUAAACGAUGUCAACUAGGUGUUGGGUGGGUAAAACCAUUUAGUACCGUAGCUAACGCGUGAAGUGACCGC
rnacentral:rRNA from 1 species